UUGAACGCUGGCGGCAGGCCUAACACAUGCAAGUCGAGCGGAUGAAGGGAGCUUGCUCCUGAAUUCAGCGGCGGACGGGUGAGUAAUGCCUAGGAAUCUGCCUGGUAGUGGGGGACAACGUUUCGAAAGGAACGCUAAUACCGCAUACGUCCUACGGGAGAAAGCAGGGGACCUUCGGGCCUUGCGCUAUCAGAUGAGCCUAGGUCGGAUUAGCUAGUUGGUGAGGUAAUGGCUCACCAAGGCGACGAUCCGUAACUGGUCUGAGAGGAUGAUCAGUCACACUGGAACUGAGACGCGGUCCAGACUCCUACGGGAGGCAGCAGUGGGGAAUAUUGGACAAUGGGCGAAAGCCUGAUCCAGCCAUGCCGCGUGUGUGAAGAAGGUCUUCGGAUUGUAAAGCACCUUAAGUUGGGAGGAAGGGUUGUAGAUUAAUACUCUGCAAUUUUGACGUUACCGACAGAAUAAGCACCGGCUAACUCUGUGCCAGCCGCCGCGGUAAAAC
rnacentral:rRNA from 1 species